rnacentral:rRNA from 1 species
AUUGAACGCUGGCGGCAUGCCUUACACAUGCAAGUCGAACGGAUUCAAGGGGCUUGCUCCUUGAGUUAGUGGCGAACGGGUGAGUAAUGCAUCGGAACGUACCCAGUUGCGGGGGAUAACGUCACGAAAGUUACGCUAAUACCGCAUACGACCUGAGGGUGAAAGCGGGGGAUCGCAAGACCUCGCGCAAUUGGAGCGGCCGAUGUCAGAUUAGCUAGUUGGUAGGGUAAAAGCCUACCAAGGCGACGAUCUGUAGCUGGUCUGAGAGGACGACCAGCCACACUGGGACUGAGACACGGCCCAGACUCCUACGGGAGGCAGCAGUGGGGAAUUUUGGACAAUGGGGGAAACCCUGAUCCAGCCAUGCCGCGUGAGUGAAGAAGGCCUUCGGGUUGUAAAGCUCUUUCGGACAGAAAGAAAUCUUUUGGGCUAAUACCCUGAGAGGAUGACGGUACUGUAAGAAGAAGCACCGGCUAACUACGUGCCAGCCGCCGCCGUAA